rnacentral:tRNA from 1 species
GCGCUCGUAGCUCAACGGAUAGAGCGAAAGGUUUCUAACCUUUAGGUUGGGGGUUCGAUUCCCUCCGAGCGCA